GACCCGGUCUGUGGGCUGCCCGUCCUCACCGGCAGCGGGCGGCGAUCGCCGGCGCUCCGAAGCCGUGGCCUGUUUUCCAUGAGCCGUCGUGCCGCCCGCCGGAACAGCCUGCCCCAGCGGUUCCGUGCUUACGGGACGAAACGGGAGACAGAAAAGGGUUUAUUGGAGAUUUCUCACGUCUUGUGGUGUAAUUAUCGCCUCUCUAGAUCUCGAAGCAGAUUUGAGAGAACACAAAGGGACACAGGACCCUGGUGAGUGAAGGGCUGCGGAUCCAGCUGCCGCUACCUGAGAAGCUUUGCUGCUUGUCCCACGCCACACGUUGCUGGAAGAGGCUCCGGCCUCCCCAUCACCCACACACCCCAGCAAACCCACACCGUGAUGUGACAACCGACUGGUGGGAAUGUGUCCCCUUCUGUACCCAAGACAGCCAUCACUGGGUACAGAGCUGUGUUUGAGCCCUGCAGGAACAGCUGGGAUUCACCCUGUAGCAUCACUUUGCAGAGGGAGAAGACCUGGGAUUUAAGGGAAGACAUAGAUGUGAUGGCAACCCCAGGUGCUUUCUGCUGCUAGGAAUUUACCAUCAUGCACCAGAGUGCUUUGGUCAGCUUUGAAUUUUCACUCACAAAAAGAUGUGGAAACUGGAAAGAUUUUAAAGGAGAAGAGAUAAGAGAGAUAAGGUGUUUGUUUUCUCAUCAGACAAUGAAAAAAAGGCUGAACAAGCUGAGCCCAGACUGCAGUGAAGUGAAAGGAGGCAGUCAAUCUGUCCUUCAAGUCUUUGCUAUGCUGGUGAGAAAUAAUGAGCUCAAACAGGGAGAUAUAACUUCAGUACUAGCAUUAGACCACUUUCUAAUGACAGUGAAAAUGAAAAACUGUUGUAGUCUGCCUAAGCAGAGAACGAAGUCACUUCAUUAGACAGUGUUAAGAACAGACAACACACAUCUAUCAGAGAUGAUAUGGUUGUACUCACGCUGUUGAAGCCUACUCGGUUGUCACACAGGACCUACUUACAUGAUCAGCUUUUGCAGUUGGUUGGCACUGACCAGCCGUUUGUAAGUUUUGAAGCGGAAUGUUAAUAUCUAUGCGAUUACUAAUAAACACAUGAAAACUCAUAGAACUCUUACCCUCUUCAGGGACCUAUUUCGCCCAUGAUACUUCAACACAAUACCUUUCCAUUAGGUAAGCAACAAGCAGCAGGUUCUCCAGGGAGCAGUAUGUGGUGCACAAGCAGUGAGACUUUGGUUCGGUUCUGUGCUUCACAUGUGAUAUUUAUUCUUCUUUGAGUCAUAGCUCCCCAUAUAUAAACCAGAGAUAACAGUAUCUUCCUAGAGAGAAUGACUUGAAGACAAAUACACUAAGGACAGUGUGACAAUCAAGGAUCAAGCUCUGCAAGACCUACUGGUGAAAAGCAGUAUAUUAAAACCACCUAGGUAUUAUUACUAUUUAUUUUGCUUUCACUCUCACCGUUGUUAAUUGAUUUUAUUCCUUUCAUGUACUUUGACUAUAAAAUAGUCUGUAAUUUUCCUGGGGCAGGAGUUGCACUAGUUGCAGUGGGGUCUCCGCUUUAGGAUAGUUUUCCGGUAUUAUUGCAACAUUAACAGCUGUUCCGGCAGUUUGAUAGUUUGGUUAUGGAGUUAAAUUUCCCCCCUGUGAACGAUUUGUAUACUGAUCUCUGGAUUAACUCAUGCAUAUCCUCAUUUAUCUGUGUGGUACUGUGGAGGCACUCUGUGGGGAACAAACACAGGUCUCUCAACUGAGUUUCCGUUCACAUUGUUUACUGAAGUUGUAGAUAUAGGUGGGGGGGGACUUUAAGCCACAGUUAUCUAAAUUUUUCCACAUUGCUAAGUGCUGGCAAAGAGAUACUAGAUUCAUUGCAGCAGGCUUCAGAUUUUCCUAGAAUAUUUCUUUGUCUCACAGUCACUUGUAAGGAACAACAGUAAGCCCAUUGUUCACUUAUUUGAUCCUAAUCAUAGAGGUUCCCACUAAAAAAAAGUCAACUAAUAUCUGAUAAGCAAUAUUUGUCACACCCUCAGAACAUAAUUCUCCAAAAAGUUCCAAAUUAAUUGUCAUGUGUGUGUGUGUCCAGAGACUUAACUGGGGGUGGUAGAGGCAUGGUGGUAUGGUUUGGAAACCAGGGAGAGCCCUUGUCUUACGCAGAGCGAAGGUACAGCUAAGCAACACCUCAUUUUUGUGUAAGAGGGGUAAGAAAGCUGAAUUCAUGCCAGUGCUCUGCGUGCAAUCCCCAGCUCCCUUGGAAGGACAGCAGUCUUUAUAAAAAGAAGCAGCAACAUAAUAACAGAUCAUGAGGUCACUGUUUCUUGUCAUUGCCUGAAGUGAACCACUGGCAUGUUUUCAAAAAAUAUGUCUAAUUGCUUCAUAUAAAGUCUAUCUGAUAGUAGAAGUGUUGAAAAGAAAACUUAGGAAACACAAUAAUUUUGGAAGUAAUAGGGUUGUGACACCAAAGAGAACUGAUUUCAGUAAAAAUGCCAGUAGAUCUACAGUGUGGUAGUUUUAAGUAUGCUGGUCGUUGCCAAGCCAAAGCAGCAGCAUUUGCCAUUCCAUGAGCUGUCCUUCCCACAUACCUGUGUGCAUCUGCACGUGUGAGAUGCCAGCUCAACGUCAUCGUGUCAUCAAAGACCUGCAUUUCCAGAAUUGUGCACAUUGGCAUUUCCAAGAAAAAUAGUUUUAGGGAGAGUUUACAGUGUAAUACGAAAUAAAGUAGCCAAAAUACUUCAAACUUUCAGAGAGGUCUUCAUAACAAGCUGUCUUGGAGCUCUUAUUUCACAGUAGUCCUGUGGGAAGGCUCAGAGGGGACAUGCUGCUCAGGACAAAGGCUACACUCUUGUGCAACCCACACACAGGCUGUGAAAAGAAAAGACUCCUUGAUAAAUUUUCUUGCUUUGAAUGAAGCUCUUCAACCAACUGUUGAAAAUCACCUAAUGUAGCAUGGGAGCCCUUGAGAUGUAUGUAUCGGAUGUGGAAAAUUAAUUGAUGGUACACACAUCCAGACUUAGAAGCUUCAGCAACUUACAAGUUGCUGAAAGAGCAACUUUACACACAACUAGAAGAGAAGGUAGAGUACUAUGUCCAACUUAAACUGUAAAAGGAAUUUUGAAAAAUUUCCAAGAAGUUUUAUUGAAACCCAUGAAAGUUCCAGGCCCCAGCCAAAACUAGCAGGAAUUGCCAGUGUUGUAGUACAUGCCUGUGCUCUUCCUUUACUAAGUAGCAGAAAAAGGUUGUGGGACUUUUUAUUUAUUUUUAUUUUUCACUUUUAAAGUGGCACAGCUUUGAGUUAUGGGAUAAUUCACCUCACUGCUUCUGACAGCAACACAAGAACAUUAUCAUAAUAGUAGCUAAUGAGAAAAUGAACCUAAAGAAUCCUCUGCUUUCCUGAAAGAUGGGAAAUCAGAAACUAACUUUUUCAAGAGUCUUCAUUUCAACACGCUACUUGCAAGAUUUAAACAGAACGAAACGCCUACUUGAAUAAGGUGUGUUUUAGAUGUUCUUGCUUUCUCCAGUUCAACUAUUGUUCAGAUGCGAUUGACACUAAUAUAUAAGAACACCUUUUUAGUUGCACUCCUGUACAAAAAGCCGCCGCCUACAGAAGAGGUGGGGUUUUGGCUGCCCUAGGUAAAGGAUGGGUGUGGGACAUGCGCAACUGAGUCAUGGGCUCAGAAGAAGCUGAUGAGGCAAUAAAAGGGGGAAAAGGGCAUAAGCCCUUGAGAUCAUGUUUCAAUUAGACAUUUUUUCACCAGAGGGAAAAAAAAAAAAAAAAGAAAGCAGCUUACACCCAUUCAUGAACAUGUCAUUCAACACCAAGUUAUUCAUGUGCUGAGAGGAGUUUUGUUGAUAUAUUUGAAUGGACCAAGAAGUUUUUCUGGAAGGAACGGAUUUGACUAAGACAUACUUAGGCUUUGUGCCAUUUUUGUAGAGUCAGCAAAGACCCUGGGGGAAAGGCACCUCAUCCAUCCAUCCAUCCAUCCGUCCGUCCAUCCAUUACCAGCUUAUGGCAAUAUGGGACUCAGCUUGCACGCCUCAGUGUCACAGAACAAGAAAGGCUCAGGCCUCAGAGCUUACAACUAGGGAGAAGCCUGCAGGACCUCAAGCCAUUGCCAAGGGUCAGCCUGGAUUUGGAAAGGCUACACAAGGAUGGGAGGAGCUGAAACUAAGAAAAAAGUGUUAAAAGCCUGCAGAAUAUGGGCCAUGAAUGUAACCUCCUCUCUAGGAAUCUCCUCCUAGAAGCUGACCUUUUUUAUAUGGAAAAGGUUAAUGGGCAGCAUGCUCUCUCUUUAAACAUACGAAAAUAGAUUUUUUCUACAUGUUGGUCAGCUCUCCUGUAAAGAGGGAAAGUGUCAAAGAUAAUAAACUAUUUCAGCUUUCAGUCAACAAGAUGAUCUGAACAGCUUAGAAAUGCUAGAGCUUAGAAGUAAGUCUGUAUCUGAACAAGAGCUGAUCACUGAGAAGCAAGUGCUAAAUCCUUGUCCCUAAUAUAUUAAAGAAAUAUAUAUCAACUCCUCUUUGAACUGCUGUAACUUCAGUAAGCCUUCCACUGGUGCCCCAAGACAGAGUUAUUAGUAAUAUGUUAUUAUUAUCAUCUGUGUUCUAGUAAUAACUCCAGGUCUGACUUUUCUGUAUAUCACAUUUUGCAUGAAGGAAAAAUACUUGCUAAAUUGUUAACUAUAUGCACAGAUGAGUUUGUGCAUCAAUCAAGUCAAGGUUGACCUUUGCGAACGGAAUAAGACACGUUUCUAUUUGUUUAUUCUGUUUACUUCUGGCAGUAAAACCAGUUAAACUCCAUCACUGGUAGCAAUAGUGGCAGAUAUGUUUAUCAAAGUACCUGCUGUGCAGGUUCCAAAUUAACUCAUUUCACGUUCAUUCUACUGUAACAACAGUCCUGCUGCAUCCAGAUAAGUGAAGGGAAGAAAGGCAAGCUUCCUAGGAAACUGUGUAGAGAUGUAUAGCUCUGCACAGCUGCAACUCUUCCACAAUACAUGUCAAAAGCCUGUCAAGAGAAAAAGCUUUAAUAUUUGUUUAUUGAGGCAGCUCUAGUAAAACCAAACAUAGUUACUACAUAUGGCUUCCCAUGGCUCUGUCAGCGAAGGCAAGCACAAUUUGACAUUACAGACGAUUAGUUUUGAAGUUGCUUCUCCCAAGGAGCUUGAGUGUGGUUUGCAGACUCUUCUUUACUGCCCCAAGACUUUCUCCCCUUCCCCUUUUUUUAAGAGAGUUGUCAAAGUGAAAUGUAACUGCCCAGCACGACAAGGGAGCUUCUGUGGGAACUAUUUGCCCACUCAACACUUUCUUGGCUGUUGCAACUCCUGUACACCUGCGUCUUAUCUCAGUGACUUCAUCUCAUAACUAUUGUCUGUUAUCUUUAUUUACUUUUAGAAGCUCCAUUUUUCAUUCCAGCUUUAUGCCAUCCUGUGGAAGAGUCUGGCGGGAAGUGUUGCAACUCUGAAAAUCCCCUUUUGAGAAGUAGCAUGACCUUUCUCAACCCAGUUUAUUAAUUUCUCCUGAAUAUAGUUGGUAGUUUCCUUCUGAGAGAUUUAAUUCAUACAAUUAUGACACUCUCCUCAUUUAGAUAGUUACAUAUGUUUGGUAAAGAAAGAUGACCUCCUAUAUUUUCUCAAAAUAUGUUGCUUUGAUAGCCAGCAGACAGUACAGAAACAUUCAAUGGGGAAUUGAGGCAGGAGAAGCUGGAUGCAGUAAGCAUUAAUCAUGUUCAAAAAUUUGUCCCAAUAAUCCUACAUCCUGGCACCCCCCUGUGCUCUAAUGUGUACUGAGUGUGAGAUGGGCUCAGGAUACUGUUGGGAUCUCUGUGUACAUCUGAUCCUUCGGGGAGCUACUGGAACCUAAAAUAUAUUAUAGCAUUUUCUUAAAUAAUCCAUUUUAAGUAUGUAGUUUGAUGCACUAAAAUUAUUGCACUGGAAUUCUCUCAAUCUGCCACAAUUUCCAAGAAUUUAGAGGAGGAGGAAGAAAUUACCUACUAACGGCGUUUGCUUAAUACUGCAUUCCCCCUGCUUAUGUCCCUAGACGUAUUAUUGCUUCUAAUAACCACUGUUUUACUCCUAAGGGUAUAUAACGUAUAAACUGUUUUGUGGAAGAGAAUGUUGCUUUGGUUUUAAUUAGAAACUCAAUCCCUGUGAAUAGUUUUGAGAAUAUUAGAGGUAUGACAAGAGCUCUACAACUUCUGGGUGACAAAUAGCAUCUCAGGAGGAGGAGAAAUACAAGGGUAUGGAGAGGGAUGAUGGGGGUUGAAUGCAGUUUAAGUCUGUUGGAUUUUUACUUGCUUAAUUAAAAUAUGAAUAAGGUGCUGAUGAAAAGCCUAGUGUAUUCGUGCAGUUCUUGACUGAAUCGUAUUACAGAAUUCUUUACUGCUGGAAGAUAGACUAAGCAGAAAUGUUUAACAUAUUUCAGUUAAAGCUGUAACACUUAACUGUUGUGGCUAAAAAAAAACAAACGUUUCCUAGAUCAGAUAGCAUCAGCUUAGCAAACAAAUCAGCUAUUGCAAAUCCUUCCUUGGAGCUUAAUGGGAAGGAACAAUUUCUUCUAGUGUCUAUUACAUUUUAAGACAAUUACCUGAGUGUGCUCUAGGGAAUACCAAGGUCUGCAGCACCAGACACACAAUUAAGCAAUGUAAUUGCAUAAACACCGUAUUUGGGACAGGCAAAGUGUUUAAACAGACCGUGCGAAAACUAUUCCCAAAGGGAAGCUAACAAAUAAUAAUGUGAUUCUUUAAAAUAAACAAAACAGUCUUUAAAUGUGAGUUGUGUUUGACUGAAGUGUUUGAUUCUACUUUUAGGGUUCCCUUUAAGUAAUGCCAUUGUUGUGGUCACUUUUCAUGCACAAUUGAUUUUUUUUUUCUUUUGCUUGAAAUGAUACAUUUUUCAAUGAUCUCAAGGGAAUGGAUGUCAAAGCAGAAUGAAACAUCUACAGCUUAGAUUAAAGCUGUUAACGCUGUCUCAAUAAUACUUAUAUUAUUCUCAUAUGAUCUUAUAUUACUGCAUAAUUAUCUCCCACACAAUAGUACAAUUGCCAUGUAAAGGUAGCUACUAAUGGAAAGUUAAGAUUUUAUAACUAACAAGGGAGAAUUUUAUUAAACACCUAAAUUUCCCAGUGCAUGAUAAGUGCUUUGUGAAAAUGGUAGACAGAAUACGACUCCGAAGCCUCUGCGUUUGUUCUGAUACAUGCGGGCACCCGUAUCCUUUUAUAAUUCAGAUGCACAGUCUUUCAACACACAGCUAAGCGUGAAUACCAUGGCUGCCACGGAGUCUGCUGGGGGCGCGGGUCCAGCUGUGUCCUCAUGUCCUGCAGCAGACUGGCAGUUUAUGUGCUGAGCUACAUGCACUUGUAUCCAAACACCCACCAUUGUCCCAAUCCACUAUAUGUGUACCUUUGUUUAGCCCUCACGGAUAUCCACUUCCCUCUGACUCUGUUCCCCCAAGUUCUCCUGCAAUGCUAUAUUAUUCCUUCUAGUCUGGCCCAGCUUCCCUCUGCAUGUCCAAAUCAGAGGUGCCUUCCGACAAAUCAGAGAUGCUUUCCUUGUCUGCGCUGACGAGAUAUAGGGGAAUGAUACAAUUCACCUUCGUUUUUAGAGGGAUGCUGCAGGAUGGCAAGUUUAGAAAGACAUUCAAGAACAAAUGCAGAGAUGAUGAGAAGAAAUGAGAUAAGAGUUGGGCAGAGUGUAGACAGAAACAGGUGGUGUUAUUAGGCAUUGAGUGGUCUCUUUUCAUGUGCUGUGCCAAGAGUGGAUCAAGCACUCUAAGCAAUUGUAUGGCAAGACAGUGGAGGCAAACUGAGCAUCCAGCAAGGGCUUUUUACGGGCUUGUGCCACAGAAAGCUUCAGCAGGAGACUGCUAAUGCCAUGAGCACAAGAUCUUCUGUGUCCUUGACCCAGGUUUCUUUUGUACCUCUGCUGUUCCUCAAGGAAUAGAGCAAUGGGAAGGAGGAGUCGCAGUCAGCGAAAGAGGAACCGGAGGCACAGAGCUGUGAAAAGGGAACUUAACCACAGGCUGGUGAGCACCAUCCACCACGCGGUGUUGACUUGUGGCUAACCACAGCAGAAAGGGAGUGAUUUCCUGGUUUACAUCAGCUAAAUUGUCAUCAUGCCAGUACUAUCCCAUUUGCGUUUUGUUUGGGGCAGAAGCCUGCAUCUCCCAGAGCUCAUUUUCAUUCCCUGUUUCCUGGACCUGGAUUGAAGCUCUUCAGUUUUGCCCCAUCUGAGAAACAAAAACCAGAAGGAGGAGACGGGCUGAAGUAAUAAUAAUGAGAUCAAGUAGUAAAUCAAGGAAGUUUGAACAAAUGUGGCUAAGUGUGUCAUUCUGUGAAACAAAACAAAUGUUGAUUUAACUAUAAUUUAGGCUAGGGAGUCAAAGGCAGCUGAACAGAAUAUUUGUAUGAGUAAAAGCAACAUUUCUGCUCAGAUGCAAAUCUGUUGCAGUUUUUAAAAUACAGAUUUAACAUGAGAGAUGCUAGUAAAAAAGUUAUGUUUUUCAGGAUUUUGCAAAUUAUAGCACAGUAUAUUAAGAGGAAUGAAUGGCAAUUUAUCUGAAUAUGCAAGGCUAUAAACUGGUGCAGUUCAGCAGCUGCUCCACAGGCAGCUAAACUGUCUUUGUGAUGAGAGCAAGAGCCUCUUGGAGAAGGGCAGAGUGGACAGUCAUGGGUAGGAACUGUUAAAAAGCACCAUUACCUGUAAGUAAGCAAGCACUGCUAGAGCGGGCUGAAUCGUGAGAGUCACUUGCAGGCAUCCUGGCAGGCUGUCUCCCCUUCAUUUUUUAAAUUAUUGGUUAUUUGUUUAUUUUAACUUUGGAAAAUUUUGUUUCCUUCCCGAUGAUGAUGUGAUUUGAAUUCAUCUGCAUAUUUGAUUAUUGUAUUGUAGAAGCUUAAGUAAGUAUAUAAAAUGAAAGCAUAGCUUCAGUCCAUUCUGAGGAACUGGCACCAGCAGGACACCUUAAAUGCUCGCAGUGCUGCAGCCCUGCCAGACCUGAGGACUCCAGUCUCAGGAGCUGUCGGGGCAGCGCUGUUCACCAGGGCUUUGUUUCCACAGAGAAAUGUGGUGCAUACAAGGGAUAACAAAGGCAGCUCCUUUUUUUGAAGAACACCAAAUAGAUUAAGCUGGUCUCAGCUGAAAAGGAUGCCAUCAAUUUAGACAGCAGCCUGCUCUUUCAGCUGAAAACAUGGGAAAUGGAGCAGCACAAAUGGGUGAACUGCUUGAUUCUCCAAAAUAUUUGUGAGAUAAUUAAUCUCUACUGCUUGCUUUGUUUGAUAGGGGACCAGCUUACUGCUCCAUUACAUGCAAUGAUAUUGCUGAAGAAGGUGGGCAUUUUCAAAUGAGAGAAAAACAGAAUCUAUUUUCUCUUUAACACAACAUUCUUUGUGUGUUGAGAAGUAAAAAAACAAACUGUCCUUGUGUUCGUGGCUCCUCAGAGCUGCAACACUGGAAGUUUAGGGGCAAAGGAACAGUUGUAAACCAGAAAGUAGGGGCAAAGCAAGCAGUGCCAAACUUUGAGGGAGAAAGUACUACUGUAAAUAUACCAAAUGACUCGCCAUAAAAAGAAGUACUGAGUGAUUCCUCAUGCUCUUGUGAACUGAAAGCAGCUUGGUGAGAAACCUCAGGGCAAUCAUUCCCAAGCUUGCUGGUACAGCAGUACUCUAGGAUAAUAGAGUUGGCUGCCCUGCUAGAGCACUCCCUCCUGGCCAAUGUAAGAAUUAGUUAAGAAUAAGUUAAUAUCCCAUUUCCCUGAAAAUAAGACAGGAUCUUAUUUUAAUUUUUCCUCCAAAACCUAUUAUUUUUUUACAUGUGUAGCUGCCUGGACACUAUUUAAAUUGACUUUUAAAAUGAACUGUAACUAGGGCUUGUUUUUGGAGUAGGGAUUAUAUUUCGAGCAUCCUCAAAAAAUCGUGAAAAAUCGUGCUAGGGCUUAUUUUUGGGGUAGGUCUUAUUUUCAAGGAAACAGGGAGUACAACCUUGUGACUGAAGGAAGAAUAAAACCAUUAUAAUAAAUUCUGCACAGGAAAAGUUGGAAAACUGAGACAACUAUCAGGAUGAAUGUCUUGCUGUUACAAUAGUGGUACUUAGCCUGGACAUCUUGGUACAAAGCAGCUUGAGCCAAGAGCAUUAAAACUGCCUUAACCCUAUUUAAAUACCAAGUUUCAGCUGGAAUGGAGAGGGUGAGACUCCUUGUAGACAGGAAAUCGAGACAGAGCUGAAAUGUCUGUUCUUGAGCCCCUAAUUUGAGUUUUUCUUCUGUGUUUCAAUUUUUCCUCAAAUGGCUAGAGAUCAUUUCUGUCUUAUUCCUCCAACAAGAUCUUUAAAUUCCUCAUUUACCACUCAGUACAUCAUUCAGAUUCUCCAGCUCUCAGAUCAGAACGCACUGCUUUUGGGUCUUCAGUGAAGGGUUCUCUAGUUUUGGAACAGGAAUCAGAGAUACAGCACAUUGCUUCUGCAGAGAGCUUUUUAGCAAUUCUUUUGUAGUCAACUGAAGCAGAUAUUUGUUUCUCAGCAAAGUAUUUUCUAAAAACUUUUAUUAUUGUGUCUAAAUACAUUGUAUUUGAGCUUCUAACCAGUUUCUAAACACCAUUAAGAAAUUAAAAAGGAGAAAUUACUUGCCUCAGAUUUCUUUUCCCGGUGAUACCGUGUAUCCCAGAAUUGCCAAACGUUUCUGCCUUCUGUAGCUCUUACUUGACUUGUACGGUAUUGUUGGCUGUGUUAAAACAGACUUGAUGCUUUUGCCUUGUCCAUCUUACUUGAGAUUUCAGUCAGUUAUGUUUUGGCUGGAUUUAACUGAAAAGCUCGUGUUCUGGAACACAGAGGCUGAAGUUGUGCCCCAAAAUCUGGGGACAACUUUUCAUUUGUCCUAACACAUCUGGUGACAGCAAGAGUCUUACAUAGACAGCAACUUUACGUGAAAGCCAUUUGAAAUGGCACAAUACUGAAUUCUGAUCUAAUGAGGUCUGGUAAGCUGAGCAGGGUGGGUUAACAAGACAUUUUUUGGUCAGACACAGCGUAAACAUGUCUUUGGCAAAAGAUUGGGGUGUGCUAUUUGUGACCUUGGCUUUCAAAUGCAACAAAGCCCAGCUUUCCUUUUACCCAGCAGAUGGCCAACUGCUCUUGGAAACAGAGAAUAAACCUCAGCAGAGGCUUCCUCUGUGCCAUUUAUAGCCCUGCAGAUGGACACUCUAAAGGAAAGGCAGCUUUGGUAUAAAAUAAAACAAAAAACAAUAACUUUAAAUUCAAGGCCUGAUUAUUUUGUGCUCUGUGGUGGAUCUCCCUUUUUUCCAGACAGCUCUCCUUGGGCAGUAAAAUUCAUGCAAGGCCUCUGGGAAGUGUAGCAUGUGCUUCAGGGAUGUGUGGUGGUUUGCUUCUACCAGGAGUGCAAAAGGCUGCAAUAACAGAAAUGGUAGGCUUUGUAUCCCUGGAAAAGCUUAGUUACAGGAGAAAACAUAAACAAAUAUUUUGAAUUUUUGUUCAAUGAAUCUCCAUCUGCCAUUCCCUGAUCCUGUUCUUUCUCUGAAAGUUCAUUGCUGUUCCCAAUGGCACUGCAGGUUUAGCUGGACCCAGCUGCAGUGGUUCCAAUUCUGCCUGAUGCCUGUGACUUCAGGUGGUCGGAGAGCGCUCCUAGAUGGGAACGUGAAAAUCUAAACUUGAGCUAGUAUUUCCUCCAAAGUUCACAUUCAGGGUUAACCUAGCAGCUCAGACACGGUGCUGCAAUGUACAGUUACUCAUCUGGAGGGGACAGCUUCAACUCACAUACUUAGAAUUAUCCCUAACGUUUUGUCUCCCACCAUUAACUUUUAAACAGUAGGUAGGCAUGGGCGGGUAGAUGGACAAACAUCUUCUAGCAUCAGUAAAGGUCUCACAGUUGCAAAAUGAAAUGGAAAACAGGCUAGAAAUGUAAACAACAAACUUUCCUCCAUCGCUAGGACAUUAUGCAGUCUACUGCAGUGUGGCAGCCGUUGGUGGCCACUCAAAAGCUGGAGCAUGAGGUGCUUAAGAGCCUUAGACUGACCAACCACAGGCUUUGUCAACCCACAUCUCCAGAACCGAGGACACAGUAGACAUCAGCUGUCCUCCCAGACAUGCUGUGUUUGCAGUAGUUUUCCCCCUUCUGCUUUUCCCAUAACUGUUACAGCCAAUGCUGUUCAAUUGCCAGGGAGGAAUAUGUACACCCCGUCAGAGAUUGCUGUAGUGCAGACAUUACAGAAAACCAUUUCCCGCUUUAUUUGGUAUAAUUUCUAGCACAAUUUGAGCUACUGUUUUAUUAUUCCUCAUAUGUAGCCAAUUAGCAUUUUCUGUCUGAAAAUCUCUCAUAUGGCAACACAGCAAAGAAUAUGAAUUAAGAAAGUAUGACUCUGUGCUAGAAAACAAAGAAAACUGGCAGGAAUCUUAUAGGCAGAUAAAGCAAAUAAAACAGCAUUAACAAUCUUAGCAAAGCAUUCCAGAUUUUGAAAUGACAAAGUCCUUCUCAAUAAGCUUUUUGCAUUACUUAAACACGGGCUGCAAUGUGCUGUGCAAACAGUUUUAAUGCUCUCCUCUUACUGAAACAGGAGGUUGUGCAACCAGACCGCAAUACACACGUUGCCUUUUGAAGAGAAGUUUAAAGAGCAGUAAAGUAUUGUAAAAGUAUUGUUACAGCAGCAAAAGCUCUUUUGAAUCAUUCUAACUGCUCAUUUCACAAGAGAGGGAGGUUGUUUAAACUCUGUGCCAUGGUAUAUUAUGCACGUAAGCCAUAAAAAGUGGCCUUGGGAGACAGAAGCAUUGCCUGCACCAAAGAAUGGGUGCCACAGGCAUUUGCCUUUCAGAGGUGGCAAAUGAUACUGUAAGUUCACAUACAAAACCGGGUGCAAAUGGGCUAAGAAAUGCCGAACAGGUGGAAUGGAAGGUUUCUAACAUGGAAAGCAACUAACCUGAGGGGAACUUCUGAGCAAGUGUGAUAUAACUAUUUUCUGUUUCCAUCCUCCAUUGUACUGAGCAAUGGAGAACCUCAUGGCAGUGCGCGUGGAGCAUCGCAUACGGAGCCGGACCAGCGUUUUUGAUAGAAGGUGGAACUGGGAAUGCUGGUCCCCAAGUCUACUUUUCUUGUGGUCAUUAUCCAUGUGUGAAAAUACCGGUCCGUUCCCAGUCACUCAGUCACAGCAGCUCCAGUGAAACGUUGUCAGAUUUUUCAUGGUAGUCCACUCCUGCCGUUAAAAUUGAAUCAAUUGCUACUUGUUAUUGCCUUAUGUUCCCAUGCAUAAAUCACUGGGUUUAUUCCAAGAUUUCCCUCCCUCCCCCCCUACUUUCUGAGUUUGCGUAAGGUUGAAUUAGGCAUUGAUUCAAAUCAAAUAAUUCAAAUGUCAUUUUUUCCUGGUAUUUAAACUAAUGCUGGAUGUGUGUUCGUGACUAAAAUAAAGCGUCUGCCUAGCAGUUUUAGUCAUUUGGUCUGUUAGUUACAGUAGAUUACAGAAAGCAUGGCAUGUACAGAAUUAUGCAUGCACUUUUCAGCCAUCUAAAAUGGAGGAUAAAUUGAACAUGUCAUAGUUCUAGGGCAGUAAUUUAUAUUGAGUAACAAGCUGGGGAGGGACCAGAGCCAAAACCUCAGAUCUAAAUUACCUUGAGUUCCAGGGAAAUUUUAAUCCAAAUAAAAACUUCACAGCAGUUCAUUAUAUGAUUAAGUGAAGCAACAAGAGACUGUGUAUCAGCACUCCCAAACUAAAGAAUUUACACCAAAAUUGAGCCUCUGUAGCUAAGUCCACAGAUGCCCUGAUCACCAAAGUUCUCUGGAUUGCAGUUAUUGACUCUUGACUUCUGCUGUCUGUUGUAACCACUCCGCGUGUCUCUGUUGGCUUUACAUAUAUCCCCAUUUGCUGUAAAUGAAAUUUUUCAGCCCAAUAAUAUUUCUUCACUGGGAGUGUGUCAUGAG